rnacentral:rRNA from 1 species
GACGAACGCUGGCGGCGUGCUUAACACAUGCAAGUCGAACGGAAAGGCCCGGCUUUGUUGGGUUGCUCGGUGGGCAAACGGGGGGGUAACACGUGAGUAACCUGCCCUGGACUUUGGGAUAACUUCGGGAAACUGGGGCUAAUACCGGAUAGGAGCUCCUGCUGCAUGGGGGGGGUUGAAAAGUUUCGGCGGUUGGGGAUGGACUCGCGGCUUAUCAGCUUGUUGGUGGGGUAGUGGCUUACCAAGGCUUUGACGGGUAGCCGGCCUGAGAGGGUGACCGGCCACAUUGGGACUGAGAUACGGCCCAGACUCCUACGGGAGGCAGCAGUGGGGAAUAUUGCACAAUGGGCGGAAGCCUGAUGCAGCAACGCCGCGUGCGGGAUGACGGCCUUCGGGUUGUAAACCGCUUUCGCCUGUGACGAAGCGUGAGUGACGGUAAUGGGUAAAGAAGCACCGGCUAACUACGUG